rnacentral:rRNA from 1 species
GAUGAACGCUAGCUACAGGCUUAACACAUGCAAGUCGAGGGGAAACGACAUCGAAAGCUUGCUUUUGGUGGGCGUCGACCGGCGCACGGGUGAGUAACGCGUAUCCAACCUGCCCACCACUUGGGGAUAACCUUGCGAAAGUAAGACUAAUACCCCAAUGAUAUCCCACGAAGGCAUCCGAAUGGGAUUAAAGAUUUAUCGGUGAUGGAUGGGGAUGCGUCUGAUUAGCUUGUUGGCGGGUAACGCCCACAAGGCUACGAUCAGUAGGGGUUCUGAGAGGAAGGUCCCCCANAUUGGAACCUGAGGACCACGGUCCAAAACUCCUACGGGAGGCAGC